AAUUUUUUAAUAGAUCAGACAAGGCCUGAUCCUGUAUCAGUGCAAUGAUUCUUUUGAUAUCCAGUAUCAGUUGAUAUGGAGUCUCAUGAUUCGUAUGUAAAACUCGUUUUUUCCUGAAAGCAAAAAAA
rnacentral:sRNA from 1 species